rnacentral:rRNA from 1 species
CAGUAGCCGCGGGAAUACGUAGGGUGCAAGCGUUAAUCGGAAUUACUGGGCGUAAAGCGUGCGCAGGCGGUUAUAUAAGUCAGAUGUGAAAUCCCCGGGCUCAACCUGGGAACUGCAUUUGAGACUGUAUGGCUAGAGUGUGUCAGAGGGGGGUAGAAUUCCACGUGUAGCAGUGAAAUGCGUAGAUAUGUGGAGGAAUACCGAUGGCGAAGGCAGCCCCCUGGGAUAACACUGACGCUCAUGCACGAAAGCGUGGGGAGCAAACAGGAUUAGAUACCCCAGUAGUCCCUGUCUCUUAUAC